rnacentral:rRNA from 1 species
AUUGAACGCUGGCGGCAUGCUUUACACAUGCAAGUCGAACGGCAGCGCGGGCUUCGGCCUGGCGGCGAGUGACGAACGGGUGAGUAAUGCAUCGGAACGUGCCCAGUAGUGGGGGAUAGCCCGGCGAAAGCCGGAUUAAUACCGCAUACGACCUGAGGGUGAAAGCGGGGGACCGAAAGGCCUCGCGCUAUUGGAGCGGCCGAUGUCGGAUUAGCUAGUUGGUGGGGUAAAGGCUUACCAAGGCGACGAUCCGUAGCUGGUCUGAGAGGACGACCAGCCACACUGGGACUGAGACACGGCCCAGACUCCUACGGGAGGCAGCAGUGGGGAAGUUUGGACAAUGGGGGCAACCCUGAUCCAGCCAUGCCGCGUGCGGGAAGAAGGCCUUCGGGUUGUAAACCGCUUUUGUUCGGGAAGAAAUCCUCUGGGCUAAUACCCCGGGGGGAUGACGGUACCGGAAGAAUAAGCACCGGCUAACUACGUG